GAUACCCAGUGCCUCCAUACACUGCUGAUCAAGAUAACGUGUGGGUGCCAUAAGACGCUGAUACAAAGCAAUGUAGCACUCCCUCUGAGCAUUAUCUCUAUAGGCCACGUGCAUGUCAUCGAAAUCCUGCAUCCUGUAAAAGUUAAGAAAGUGAUCCUGUAAAUACAAACCAUUCAAAUCUUAGUCUCAAUGAAAAAUAUGAUAAAAUAAAAUAUAAAUAAAU
rnacentral:lncRNA from 1 species